AUAACCCUGUCACUUAUCAAAACGACCGUGUUUUGGUCCAGAAAAUGAAAUAUUUUCAUUGGCUCGUGGGGGGAUGGUACAGUAACAGCAUACAAAACACGUUCAAAUGCAGAAAAUCUGGGCUUCUAGGGUUUGUGAACAGUGCUUCAUCCCUCCCAAAAUCGAAUUUCCCAAUUUCUCCCAAAAAUGUCAAUUGAUUACACCAUUGUAAACAUUAAACAACACACAACAACAUCCUAACAUUGGUUUUCAUUAAUUUGAACUACACAACAAGAAAUCGAUGGAAACAUUUUCAAGCAUCAAGCUUC
rnacentral:lncRNA from 1 species